rnacentral:rRNA from 1 species
GACGAACGCUGGCGGCGUGCUUAACACAUGCAAGUCGAACGGAAAGGCCCUGCUUUUGUGGGGUGCUCGAGUGGCGAACGGGUGAGUAACACGUGAGUAACCUGCCCUUGACUUUGGGAUAACUUCAGGAAACUGGGGCUAAUACCGGAUAGGAGCUCCUGCUGCAUGGUGGGGGUUGGAAAGUUUCGGCGGUUGGGGAUGGACUCGCGGCUUAUCAGCUUGUUGGUGGGGUAGUGGCUUACCAAGGCUUUGACGGGUCGCCGGCCUGAGAGGGUGACCGGCGACAUUGGGACUGAGAUACGGCCCAGACUCCUACGGGAGGCAGCAGUGGGGAAUAUUGCACAAUGGGCGGAAGCCUGAUGCAGCAGCGCCGCGUGCGGGAUGACGGCCUUCGGGUUGUAAACCGCUUUCGCCUGUGACGAAGCGUGAGUGACGGUAAUGGGUAAAGAAGCACCGGCUAACUACGUG